UCGUUUUCAUCUGUUGGCUUCUCAUUUUCAUCUGAGCAGCCUUUUGAAAUCACAUGAAACAAGUCUAAUCUGAUUUCCAUUUCAUGGUCCUUUGGGAAUUUGAACACAGCUAUAAGUAACCCCAUGAGCUUCUUCUUGGCCAAGACUCUAGGCAGAACAUGUUUAUUUCCUUCCAGGGUUUGUCUCAUGCCUUGGUCUCAGGCCCCUCUCUAUGCUGGACACUCUUCUCUGUUACCAUGAGUGGUAUCCAGGGCUCCAUGUACAAUUGCAGAAAUGCUUUCACCAAGGCAAAGCUCACCUCUUUCACAAAGAAUUUUAAAUCUCCUGAACCCCGUGAGUAUUCCAAAAAGGCCAUAUGAAAGCAAUCCAUAUGCGAGAUCAUUUUUUAAAAUAGGAAAUCCAGGAUCCAGUAAAUUUGAGCACAAAAUUCCUCUGAAUUGUGUGAAGAACUGACGGUGUUAACAGUGGAGCCUGUGCUUUUGUUUAUCGUUGUCUAACCGUGAGGUAGACUGGAGUCUUGAGGAAGCUGGAUUCUAGAUUCUCCUUUGAACUGUAUCUUGAGAAGCAAUUUUAUGAUUCAAAUUCCAGCUCAGAGUCAAGUUCAAGUUCAGCCUCUGCCUUUCAUCAAAAGCAAAUGUGUUUACAUCACUGUUUGAUACUUCCUGGAAGUAUACUUCAGAACGCUAAAUUUUGUUUCAACUCAAGAAACGUGUCGAAUCAGAGAGAAUAGACAUCUUGGAAGCGUUCAAGCUAAUGCCCCAAACAGUAAUUUAAAUGAUUUCUUCUUCCUCCAUUUUAUGACCGGAGGAACUUUGGAGCUAUACUGUAUGUCAUCAGGUGCGUCAUUUCAACCUCCCAGGGAGGAGUUAUCCUAGGAAGGAUAAAGGAACAGGUCAUUUAUCAGUUGACUGUUGCUGAGAAAGAGGGAUGCCCUUAUACAGCCGCAUGGAGGGUAUCAGAGGGCCCACUCUUCUAACUAGCAAGAUUGCUUUGCAGCUUUGCUUGAACGAUGGCCCCACAGCAAUUUCUACACACCCAGGCAAAAUGACACAUGAUAAGUGGAGGAACAAAACAAGAACCCCACAUUUCUAUAACACCAUACACUUUUCAUCAUGUUUACAACUACUGCAAUGAUAUGGACCAUAAUAUACAGCUCUACAGUUUGCAAAACAAUUUUACUGCCACUCGUAACAGUAUUUCUGCAAUGUAAUGGGGCAUGGCAGGGAAGAACCAGACUGAAACUAGUAUCAAUUUGUCUUGAUAGGAAAAAAAAGAAAAAAAGACCUGAGUGAAGAUACAGUAUUUUCCAAGGUUUUAUAGACAGAAAAAAGAUGGAAAGAAGGAGCAAAAUCAAGACUUGAAUUCAGGUCAAUUGACUCCAAUCCUUUGUUCAGUUCAGCAGAACGCUUGCCUCUCACUAUCAGCAACUUGACUCCCACACAGGUGUGAAUGCAAAGAAGGACUGGUGGAAAAAGGAUAUCACCAUGGAAAGGACAUCAUGGUGAAAGUUGGUAAUUCCAAUAACAAAGAGAAAAUCUGCAUGUCAGAUACAUGGGGCAGUGGUCACUUACCAAGCAAAAAGACUUAGAGUCAUAGCAGACUUCCUAUCAGCACCUCUUGGGUAUUAGGAGGCAAUGAAAAUUCUUCAAAGUUCAGAUAGGAAAGGAUUUCAGCACAGAACUCUAUAACUAAACCAUCAAUCAAAUGUAAAAGCAAAGACACGUAAGACACUUCAGGGUGUGCAAAACCUCAUGAAGUUCACUGCCUUUAUCUUCAGUUGAACAGUAAUUUGGUAAAGAGGAUGAAAUAUCAGUGGCAACAACAAAGGGUAAAGGAGACUAGAAAUCAAGAGAGGGCACAUGAGAUGGAACAUUUGGAGGAUUCGCCUUUAACCUGAAACAGGUUCAUGGCAUAGAAGAUUUACUUCCAUGUGAGUCAAUCCCUGGUUCUAUUUUGAACCCCUGGCUCUCUGGUUCUAUAUUGAAUAAUAUUUACAUAAUCAUUCUGUUCAUUCAUUUUUUAAUAAUCCAUUUAUUAUACAAUCCCGUAAGAUGUAUUUACAAUUAUGGAAGAGACUAUAAAUGUAGUAAGUUUAGAUAGUAUAAAAAUAAUUACAAAGGAAAGAAAAACUUGAAGAUAGAGGGGAAUGCUAUUGUCCUUUUCUUUACAGUGGAAUUUAUAGCUGCCUCAAGUUAAGCGAUAAAGUAGGGUUUAGUUAUUCAUGAAAACAACAUAUAAAAGACCCAAAAAUUAAUAGUCCAGCUAACAAAAAUUAGAAAGCGGAGAAAGUGAACAGGGGAGAAAAAGUGGAAGUAAGUAAUGUCAGUGAGUACAUUCUUCAGACAUAUCUAGGCAAUAAUACUCUGUCUAGAGUCAAGACCUCAAAAAGUAGGUUCCUAAGCACGUUAUAUAAAGUUACAAUAAUAAUUACUAGUAAAACUAAAAAGAGGAAAUGCUGACAGUGACGUCUCUGGGGAGAGGGGUUGGUGAUAAAGCAGAGGAUGAUUUUACCUUACAUUUUUGUUCUUCUGCUCUGUUUGACUAUUUUAAAACUCUGCACGUGCAUCAAUUCUAUAUUUAAACAAAGGAAAACUCAGUCUAUUUGAAUAUCUAAUAACGUGGAUGAACAUCUAGAUGAUGGCUUGACUUGAUGCUGGCACAUACUUAAAUCCAUACAAAGAAAAUAAAGAUUCAAAAAUCAGGUGCAUCCCCUUUAUUUGAAAAAACAAAGCAUUGUGAGCCCUGAGAAAGAAAGUAACUCCCUCAAGAGUACUUUACAGAGCUGACCAUAAAAGUCAGAUUAAUGUUCCGUGCAAGAACUGAGUUGAAGAAUGAUUGUUCACUGGCCGACAUUGUCCCAAUUUUGAAGCACAGUGGUUGUCAAAUUUUGGUAACUUUUGGCAUAAUUAAAUACUUGUUCUCAAAAGGAGA